rnacentral:rRNA from 1 species
CGCGGUAUUUUGACCGUGCGAAGGUAGCGCAAUCACUUGUCUUUUAAAUGAAGACCUGUAUGAAUGGUGGAACGAGGGCUUAACUGUCUCCCCCUUCAAGUCAAUGAAAUUGAUCUGCCCGUGCAGAAGCGGACAUAAUAAUACAAGACGAGAAGACCCUUUGGAGCUUAAGAUACAUGAUCAACUAUGUCAAGGACCAGUCAAACUAAAUAGUAACUGAUCUACAUCUUCAGUUGGGGCGACCACGGGAGAAAAUUAAGCUCCCAUGCGGACUGGGACCCAAACCCUAAAACCAAGAGAGACAUCUCCAAGUCACAGAACAUCUGACCACAAAGAUCCGGCUACACGCCGACCAACGGACCAAGUUACCCUAGGGAUAACAGCGCAAUCCCCUUUCAGAGUCCAUAUCGACAAGGGGGUUUACGACCUCGAUGUUGGAUCAGGACAUCCUAAUGGUGCAGCCGCUAUAGGGUU